GAAGCCAUGGCCCAGGAGCAAAGCAUCUGCUUGGCACUCAGGAGGUCCCAGGUUCAAUCCCUGGCAUCUUCA
rnacentral:tRNA from 1 species